rnacentral:lncRNA from 1 species
UGAUACAUCAUGCUGAUCUUGAUGGAGCUCCAUUACUGAUACUAGCCAACAAGCAAGAUAGAGAGAAGUGGAGAGUGCUUUUGAUACAAGUGUUGAAUCAAUAGGUAACAGAGACUGUCGUAUACAGAGGGUCUCUGCUCUAAGAGGUGAAGGCGUGUUUGAAGGGAUCGAAUGGUUAGCUCAGAGAGUAAAGGAAAAACCAAAUAGACCUUUGAAACCAGUCAAGUCGUAAUACUUAUUUUAAUGUCAUUUUCUCUCAU